GGGGCCAUCUUAAGUCACCAUGGUCUCGCAGGAAAAGAAAACACGCCCUUACUCCUCGGCAAUGGGGGAGAUUGUUUACACCAGAAGGGAAACUCCAUGAUGGUGGAGUUAAAUUUUUGAAAAAAGUUCGGAGUGGAGGUGUAGAUCCGAGUAUUAGAGCAGAGGUUUGGCCACUGGCCGUUCCUCCUUGGAGUGUAUGAGUUGAACAGUUCUAAAGAAGAAA
rnacentral:misc_RNA from 1 species